AUUGAACGCUGGCGGCAGGCCUAACACAUGCAAGUCGAACGAGUGGCAGACGGGUGAGUAAUGUCUGGGACACUGCCUGAUGGAGGGGGAUAACUACUGGAAACGGUGGCUAAUACCGCAUACCCACAGAUGUGCCAAGAUGAGAUUCGCUGGAUGGUGGGGUAACGGCUCACCAAGGCGACGAUCCCUAGCUGGUCUGAGAGGAUGACCAGCCACACUGGAACUGAGACACGGUCCAGACUCCUACGGGAGGCAGCAGUGGGGAAUAUGUCACAAUGGGCGCAAGCCUGAUGCAGCCAUGCCGCGUGUAUGAAGAAGGCCUUCGGGUUGUAAAGUACUUUCAGCGGGGAGGCGUUACCCGCAGAAGAAGCACCGGCUAACUCCGUGCCAGCAGCCGCGGUAAUUC
rnacentral:rRNA from 1 species